rnacentral:lncRNA from 1 species
GUAGACCGGAGCUGUUCCUAUUCGGCCAUCUUGGCUCCUCCCGAUCUCCUGACCUCAGACCAUAGAUCCUAAGUGUGCAGUAGGCUUUCGCGUCUAGGUUUGUAUGGGCCAUGUGAUAGGAUUUUGACAAACGGAAAUGUAGAAAAAAGUACUGGCCAUUUCCAGGCCUGGCCCUUCAAUACAUCAUACAAACCUCUAGAUCUCUCUUUCCCUGCCGUAUCAGCAGUUUCCGACUCCACAUUUUCCAGAUGGUAUUGCUGCAAGACAGAGGAGGGCCACCUGACCACAUUAUGCCAUGCAUAAAUGAGAAAGAAAACUCUACACUGUUAAAAUACUGUUGUUACCUAUGGCAAAUCCUUACCAGUCUGCAGCAACCUCAACUCUUGCCUCCUCAGAAGAAACAAUUUGACUGAGCAUCAUAAGGCAGAGGAAGAGAGCAAGGCAAGAUUUAGAGCAGGAGUGAAAGUUUAUUAAAAUGCUAUAAAGAAGGAAUAAAAAGAAAGUAAAGUACACUUGGAAGAGGGCCAAGCAGGCAUCUUGGAGCUAAAGUGCCCCAUUUGACCUUGGGCCUAGGGUUUUAUAUGCUGGCAUUCUUCUGGCGUCUUCUGUCCCUUUUCCCUUAACUCUUACCUUGCGGUGAGCUGCCUGCAUGUGCGGUGGCCUGCUGGCACUUGGAAUGUGAGCACGUGUGGUAUGUUUACUGGAGUUGUAUGCAUGCUCACCUGAGGCAUUCUUCCCUUUACCAGUGGAAUGCCCCCGGAAGAUCACACACAUUAAACUCCGCCAUUUGGCCUCUUGAUGUGCAUGCUUGAGUCUACUCACCCAGCUCCGGAAAUCUUACCCAGAAGCUGCUGAUCACCGGUUUCAAUUGCUGCCUAUCUAUAAGGAGACUGCAUUUCCCUGGAGUUGGUUGAGAUCUUUUAUUAAGAAGCAGUGUGACAACUGCCUGACAAUCAUCUGAUGGUUGCCUGACUUUUUUGGUGGGGUGUGGGAACCCUCUCCUGCCCUGUUCGUGUCUGACUAGCUACCCAGUAUAACACUAUGAUUUCAGAAUUUUUGUUGUUGCAAAUUAACAGUUAUAGUAAUAGUUUUAAGAAUGAAGAGAUUAAGGGAAAAUCCAGUGGAAGAAAGUUGAUGAACAAAAACAGUAUCGUUGAGAAGGCAAGAUAGCUCAAUAGUGAAUUCAUAAAGUAGAAUCAGAAAUGUGGUCUUAUAGAAGACAAAUAGAAACACAAUCACUACAAACGUUCCCAAAAUGACCUGAAUAGAUGUUGUCUUUCUUACGACAACUGGGAAGGUUGUCAAGCCAUUUUUAUUAUAAUCUUCAAUUUGGCCCUUUUACAUGUCAGGUAUUGUGUUAAGCAUGCAUGUGUUUUCAUCUUUAUAAGAAUAUCCUGAAAAGGUGUUACUAUGAUUCUUCUAAAAUGAUUAAGAAACUGAUGCUUAAACAGGUUAAGUAAAUUACCCAUGGAAAGAGAGAUACUACAUGGUGGAGCUGAGGCUUGAACUAAGUUUUUCUCUCCCAAAGCAGAGACAUGCAACUCACCAUACAUACUACUUCUCUUGAACAGAGAAGUGCACUCAGUAAGUUGAACCAGCAUUUCUGUCAACUGUACAAAUCAGACAGUUUGCACUGCACCACUGGAUACUGAUAUAGAUAUUCCUGUAGUCACUAUUCCUCCAUAUUUCAUUAAGCUGUCAUUAUGACACUAUAAAUCCUUUAAAUAACAUCUUAAAAGUUAAUAGUGGUGGGGUUUGAAUGCCAUACCUUUAAUUCUAGUAACUUUGCUGACUUCUUGACUUUUAACUCUCAUCAAUAGACAAGAAAAUAACAAAUGUCCUUAAUUUACAUGGGAAAGAUUUCCUACUUAAAACCUUCCUAAUGGUUUGCCUGUGACUUUACAGUAUGAGCCUAUCCUCUUUGCCAUUGCUUACAGACUUCACCAUGGUCUGUUGUCUGCUUUUAUCUCCAAACUCAUCUCACUACAAUCUGCAUCCACCUCUAUAUUCUAAGUUUACUUGAACGCACCGAGUUAAUUCCCUCUAAAUGUCUUUGCAUCUGCUGUUCCUUCUGUCUAAAGGUCCUUCUACUGACUCUUCAAAUGUUGGUCUUCUCCUCAUUAUUUUGGUCUCAACAAAAUUUGUCAACUACUUAGAGAGACUCUUCCUGCUCAAGGGCUGUGAAGAGAUCCAUCCCCAUUAUACUUGACCCUGUUUUAUGUCUCUCCUGGAGCUCAUGCUGCUGCAAAUUGAUCUGGUUCAUUAAUUGACUUAUUUAUUAAUUCCUUUUUUAAUCCAACAAGAGCAUGAGUUCCAUGAGGGCAGUGAUUUUUUUCUACUGCCUUUAAUUUGCGGCUAUAUUUCUCCACUUGGAACAGUGACUGACACAAAGUAAAGAUUCAAAUCUUUGUUGAAUAACUGAAUGAAAGUAUAUUUGAUGUCUUUUAAAAAAGAACUGAGAUGAGGCCGGGCGUGGUGACUCACGCCUGUAAUCCUAGCACUUUGGGAGGCCAAGGUGGGCAGAUCACCUGAGGUCAGGAGUUUGAGAUCAGCCUGGCCAACAUGGUGAAGCCCCAUCUCUACUGAAAAUACAAAAAUUAGCCAGGCGUGGUGGCAGGCACCUGUAAUCCCAGCUACUUGGGAGGCUGAGGCAGGAGAAUCGCUUGAACCUGGGAGGCAGAGGUUGCAGUGAGCUGAGAUCUGCAUUCCAGUCUGAGCGACAAGAGCGAAACUCUGUCUCAAAAAAAAAAAAAAAAAAAAAAGAACUGAGAAACACUGGAGAAUAUAUAAGGUAGUAGUUAGAAAUUUGAAAAUGGAAGACCAGGCUUAAGGGGUUGAAACUUGGUUUUGCCAUUAACUGUGGUCACAUUCCUCAAACUUUCUUUUCUUCAAUUUCCUUAUUUGUAAAUAGGGAAAAUAAUAUAAGUUUCCUCAAGGGGUUAUCUAUAUUUACAAAUCUAAUUUAGAAUAGUUCACAACAUAGAAAAAGCAAUACACAUGUAUUUGUUACAUAAAUAAAUGAUAGACAAUACAAGUUGUAUGUCAAAAGCUUCAGGUUUCUUUCUUUGCUUUCAGUUCGGAUCACUGACUUCAUUUUUCAAUUAAAAAGACAUAGAACUGGGUUACUCAGUUUCUAUCAAAAUUUCUGUGUUUGUUGCUAUGUCCACAGCUGCUAUUAUCUGGAUUAUUAUUUGGUGCUAUGCCCAUAGCUGCCAUUAUUUGGGAGAGUUUGUGACUUCAUAGGGUUGGGGUAGGGUAAAGUGAUGCAGCCUGUGGUCAUUUCAGUAAAGAAAUGGACUGUGAAUCAUUUAGUUUGAUACAUUUUACUAAAAAUAUUUGUUAGAUAGUUUGCACCCACACCUCAUUUUGUUUAGAUAGAUUUUCAUUUUAUAAAAUUGAAAGUAGAAUUCUUUUCAGAAUUAGAUUACACUUUUUCCUUCUCUCUAUAAUAUUUUAAACCCUUUCUCUGUAUAACACUUUUCUAAGGCACUGGAGGAAUUUAAGUUUGGCAGUAUCACAAACAUGCUUGUACAAAACUCUUGUUAUCACAUUGCAAGACCAUGAAAAUAUAUGUUCAAAAACAGAUCAGUCAUUUAACAAGAACUGGAUAGCUCUGACUGAGUCAAAAGUAACUUCUUCCCAGUUCUUUAGAUAUGUUGUUCAAUUGUGUUUAAAUAUGUAAGCCCAGGGCUGGCUCUGGGCAAAAACGUCAACUUUAAAUCUUCAGCCUGUCAUUUAAUGCCCUCCACAUCUUGUUUUUUCCCUACCUUUUCAUUCUUAUUCAGAAUACAUUGUCCCUUGCGUCUUGUUUUUCAGCCUUAUUGACUAGUAAGAAGUCUUUUAAAACUCUGUGCAAUAUUUUGUGUUUGUUGUCACACAUCAUUGCUAGGAGAAUACAGCAUUGUCAGUAUGACUCUAGUGGCAAAAGACAACUAAAAGCUGGUCACUAAACUAUUUUAGGCUCUGCUUUAUGAACCUUUUCUCAUUCCUGAUUUUAAUAUCUGUUCUUUCAUUGAAAUAAACAGUAUCUUUGAGUGUAACAGCUUUUCUGGGUUCUGUGAGUACUUUUAUUAAAUAAUUGAGCUUGAGGAUGGUUCUGCAAAUCUCUGACUACAAUAACAAUAAAUGCAAAUGAUACAUGCAUCUUUCUCUGGGAAUAUCUCUUCAGAGAAGUUAAGGAAG